UAGGAACAAAUCUCUUUAACAAACCCCAAAAUAAAGCUCUGGUAUAUGCAUAUGCAUAUUUAGAGAAAAAUACAUUUGUUUUGUUUCUGGAAUUGGGAACGGGGAGAGAAGAGAAAUCAAUAUAACUUUUACUACUCAUCAGAUCAGCCAAGCAUCGUUGGAAUUCACGAAAAUUUAACGGGUAGACUAGAGAGAGGAAUGUGAAGUUAGGAAUCUGAAAUUUUUGGGUUUUCCAUUGGAAGAGAGAGUGACGGCAACGUGGAGUGACUGGAGGGUUGACCGGACAGGGGCGAAUGAACUCCGAGAGCGGAAGGAUGAUGGCAGCGGUGGUAGAGAACCGAAUGACAGGAAGACCGUCGGCCGGACGGCGACGACUCCUACUUUGAUCAGCAGCCUCGCAACCAACAACAGCAGCAGCGCAGGGCGACAGUGCCUGCGUCGUCGGCCUGGACGUGAAGCAACUGCGGACAACAAGCAGAGGGCACGACAGCAACUGAUCCUUGGCGGCGACGGCGGCGAUCAAUUAAAGGCCGUGUCUCAGUGGCUGAACAACGCGUUGAAGGAGAAGGCGGUGCUUGCUGCAAUAGGGAAUGGUGGCGGAUAGCAGCUCGCAUCGGCAAAUCAGCGAAAAAAAAACGGUGGCGGCGGUGCUGAGUUAUGUCGGAGAGAAGGAGAGGGAUUGCAGACAUGAGUGAGCCUCUGAAUUUGUGAGAUAUUGGAGAAGAAAGUUGAGAUUGAGAGAGAGUCCGAGAGAGGAGAGGAGACGGCAUUGGCUGGAGAGAUUUGGGAAUUUGAUGUGAUACCGGGCAUGAGACGACAGCGGUGGUGAGAUCUGCUGGACGCCGGCGACACGAAGGAGGGACAGAGAAGAGAGAUGGGACAGCAGCCGUGAAUUCAUCAGAGAUGGUGUGCCAUCGCUGCUGGUAAAAGGGAAAGAGAGAGGGAGUGUUGUGUUGGGGAAGAAAGAGAAUGAAUCAAGGACUGUGUUGAUUCCAAUUUUGGGUUGUAUUGAUUUCAACUUGGGAAUUUCUGACUGUGAGAGACUUAGAAGAGGGAAUUUGGGGAUUUUCAUGUUUCUGGGAACAAAUACAGAGAGAGUGACCGAUAGGAAUAGAUGAAGAGAGUUCUUUUCUUUGUUUUGUUGGGCCAACUUUAAAAUAUUAGGAAUUGGGCCAAAGAAAUAAAGGGAUAGUGUAUGGAAUUUGGGCCAGUAGCUGGGAGCUUCACGAAUUGAAUUAAAGAAUCAUAUUGUUGUGAUAGAGUCGGCUGACCUUAUGAUUAACGUACGAGGAUUUCAGAAUUUUCUAAGUAAUGACGAAAGGGGGAAUUUUUUGCAAGCUAUUUGAAAACAAAACGGCGGAAAGACGAGUAGAGGAUUUAAGAGAACGAGGUUGAGCGGUGACGAGCGCCGUGGGUGUUGAGCAUAAAAGUGAAG